AAUACGGAGGAUGCGAGCGUUAUCCGGAUUUAUUGGGUUUAAAGGGUGCGUAGGCGGUUUAUUAAGUUAGUGGUUAAAUAUUUGAGCUAAACUCAAUUGUGCCAUUAAUACUGGUAAACUGGAGUACAGACGAGGUAGGCGGAAUAAGUUAAGUAGCGGUGAAAUGCAUAGAUAUAACUUAGAACUCCGAUAGCGAAGGCAGCUUACCAGACUGUAACUGACGCUGAUGCACGAGAGCGUGGGUAGCGAACAGGAUUAGAUACCCUGGUAGUCCACGCCGUAAACGAUGCUCACUGGUUCUGUGCGAUAUAUUGUACGGGAUUAAGCGAAAGUAUUAAGUGAGCCACCUGGGGAGUACGUCGGCAACGAUGAAACUCAAAGGAAUUGACGGGGGCCCGCACAAGCGGAGGAACAUGUGGUUUAAUUCGAUGAUACGCGAGGAACCUUACCCGGGCUUGAAAGUUACUGACGAUUCUGGAAACAGGAUUUCCCUUUGGGGCAGGAAACUAGGUGCUGCAUGGUUGUCGUCAGCUCGUGCCGUGAGGUGUCGGGUUAAGUCCCAUAACGAGCGCAACCCUUACCGUUAGUUGCUAGCAUGUAAUGAUGAGCACUCUAACGGGACUGCCACCGUAAGGUGAGAGGAAGGCGGGGAUGACGUCAAAUCAGCACGGCCCUUACACCCAGGGCUACACACGUGUUACAAUGGCCGGUACAGAGGGCCGCUACCAGGUGACUGGAUGCCAAUCUCAAAAGCCGGUCGUAGUUCGGAUUGGAGUCUGUAACCCGACUCCAUGAAGUUGGAUUCGCUAGUAAUCGCGCAUCAGCCAUGGCGCGGUGAAUACGUUCCCGGGCCUUGUACACACCGCCCGUCAAGCCAUGGGAG
rnacentral:rRNA from 1 species